rnacentral:rRNA from 1 species
GUGGGGAAUAUUGGACAAUGGGGGGAACCCUGAUCCAGCCAUGCCGCGUGUGUGAAGAAGGCCUUUUGGUUGUAAAGCACUUUAAGCGAGGAGGAGGCUACCGAGAUUAAUACUCUUGGAUAGUGGACGUUACUCGCAGAAUAAGCACCGGCUAACUCUGUGCCAGCAGCCGCGGUAAUACAGAGGGUGCAAGCGUUAAUCGGAUUUACUGGGCGUAAAGCGCGCGUAGGUGGCCAAUUAAGUCAAAUGUGAAAUCCCCGAGCUUAACUUGGGAAUUGCAUUCGAUACUGGUUGGCUAGAGUAUGGGAGAGGAUGGUAGAAUUCCAGGUGUAGCGGUGAAAUGCGUAGAGAUCUGGAGGAAUACCGAUGGCGAAGGCAGCCAUCUGGCCUAAUACUGACGCUGAGGUACGAAAGCAUGGGGAGCAAACAGGAUUAGAAACCCCGGUAGUCC